rnacentral:rRNA from 1 species
CCUACGGGGGGCAGCAGUGAGGAAUAUUGGUCAAUGGACGAGAGUCUGAACCAGCCAAGUAGCGUGAAGGAUGAAUGCCCUAUGGUUUGUAAACUUCUUUUAUAUGGGAAUAAAAUGUUCCACGUGUGGGAUUUUGUAUGUACCAUAUGUAUAAGGAUCGUCUAACUCCGUGCCAGCAGCCGCGGUACUACGUAGGAUCCGAGCGUUAUCAGGAUUUAUUGGGUGUAAAGGGAGCGUAGGUGGAUUGUUAAGUCAGUUGUGAAAGUUUGCGGCUCAAACGUAAAAUUGCCGUUGAAACUGGCAGUCUUGAGUACAGUAGAGGUGGGCGGAAUGCGUGGUGUAGCGGUGAAAUGCUUAGAGAUCACGAAGAACUCCGAUUGCGAAGGCAGCUCACUGGACUGCAACUGACACUGAGGCUCGAAAGUGUGGGUAUCAAACAGGAUUAGAUACCCUGGUAGUC